UGCUGUUGUUUUGGAUUGUGGUUUGUUACUGCAUCUGAGCAAUUUAAGCAAAUUAUCUGGUCAUUUUUACGUUGAGUCGAGGAACUGCUCCUCCGUACUCUAUCUGUUGAUAGUACUUUCGCGAAAGGACGCUUUAUUACUUGUGUUGUGUGUGCUUUAAAAUGAUGAGUUUGCAAUGCAUCAAUUGCAACGUUCGCUUGUCGCGAAUACGAAAGCACGCUUUAUCCGAUGAGAGUGAAGAUAUCGUCAAUACUAUUCGGCUGUGGACAUAUCCUAGAGAUAUAACACCUGCUGACCAUGUUUGCCGCACGGAACAAAUGUUUGAAUGAUCUGCAAGUAGUUGUUCUGGGUCUGGGUAUUUCUGCACAUGAGUUUCUAUGUUGAUGAAAUAAUACUAAGAAUAGAUUAAAUAAUUAUAAGAACAAUAAAAUAGAUGUGUAUUCCUACAAAAA